UAUUUCUGGAGAGAGAGAGAGGUAGAUUUUUAUGUUUAUUAUUAAGUUAGUUUCAGCUUCUGAUAGCAGGUUAUUAAGAGUUUACUUGAGGAGAGGAUUACGGAAUUUUAGUCUAUAGUGGAGGAAGUCUUUGAGAUUUUUUUUUUGACGUAACAGAUGUUUAUUUGAGGAUACUUGUAAGGAUAAAGUUUAUAGUGAUAAGUUGUUUUAAGUCGUUGAAUUUAUUGUAGAUUUAUAUCGGGGAUUAUUACGUGAGGAGAAUACGUUAUAAGUUAAAUGCUUAUUAGAGAUAAUGCAAGUGGUUUAAUUUAAUUGAAGUUCAUUUUAAGAUUGUAGGUUAAGAGAAUUAUAAUUUAAAAUAAAGUUUUUUGUCGUAAAUAGGAAUUAUUUUCAAGAGAAGUUUGUUUAGUUGUCGUGCGCGUAGGAGACGAGACGUACGAAUUAAAUCAGUCGAGGGAAGGAUAAACGUUAGAAAGGAAUUAAAGAGAAAACGAGAGUUUAUGUAAAAGAGAGUUAUAGAAUUUAUAGUGAUGUUUUGUUUUAAUUAGAAAAAUGUUGAGAGUUGUUUCAGAACGACACGUCAGUGGACGUGGCAGAGUGAACACGUGACGGGGAGGUGCUGAGACCUAGCGGAGAACGGAGGAACCGCAAGCGAGGGUUGGCGCACCUGAUGGAAUUCGGUGACGUCACGGGCUCAUACGGAGACGUGGACAGGCCGUGACCUUGUUUUGAUCAGCUGUACGGUAACUUAACGAUAAGAAAAUAGACUAUUGGUUAAAUAAAUUUAAAUUUAAGUGUGUUUUAGGAGAAGAGGAACUUUCAGUAUAUUCCUUAAGAUGAGCUGAGCAGCAGUCCAGUUUACAAGAUGACAAGAGUUCGAGAGACAAGAUACAAGAUCACUGAAACAAGAGCCAAGACUGAAGAUUCAAGAGAAGAGAAAGCUGGCAGCCAUGGACUUACAAGUGGAGAUUAAUAAGGUCAUGUAAAGUUUUAUUUUUUUUUAUGGAAGACAGUAACUGGAGUUUUUUUUUGUUAUAAACAUUAUUUACAGAACUUUUUAGGUUAUAGUAAUGUAAUGGAACUAGUGAGUUGUGGUAGCUGUCAAAAAGAACUAAUACCUUAAGUUUAAUUUUUAAAGUUAAUUUUCUUAAUUUACAGAGGGAUUAGUAGUUUUUUUUAAAACCUUAUUUAGGUUGGAAUUUAAAUACAAUAGCUUAUUAUAAAUGUGUACGAACAGUUCAAGUUCACAGUACUGAUAGGUAGGUCAGAUGAUCUUAUUGAUUUUGAUGAUUUGUUGUUUUGAGUUGAUUUUUAAGUGUUGUGAAUUAGACAAUGAAAUAGUUCUGAAAACUUAAAUUAUUUCAAGCUAAGAAAUAGUAAAGUUAAUUGUAACUCAAAGGACACCAGAAUUUAAUUUUUUUUUGAAUUAGUAAUGUUUGAAAAUUUUAUACUUUACAAGAAAGGUUAUAAACAAACAGAUCGGAUGGAACAAGGAUGCAGUAAAUCACAAUUUCAUUUAGAAUUAUUGAUUAGCUUUUGAGGUUAUGAAGGAAAAGUAGCUAUAAUUUAAAAAUUUGAAUAAAAAUGGUUUUUUUUUAUUUGUUUGAAAUAGAAAGUUUAAAAGUUAAUUAGUCAUGAUCUAGGUGGGUGAUGGGGUGGGAAUUGGCCACUCUUUUUCCCUAUAACCUCCCUAACAUGGCCUUCUAUUACAACUAACAGAAAUAAAGAAGAAGAAAAAUGAAGAAUUAUUAGUUAGAAUGUUUCUUUCAUGAAGAUACCUGAUGAACUUUUACUGUUUGGAAGAAUAGAAGCAAGGUUAGUCAGAUAUUUUUACUCAGAAGAAGAAGAAGAUAAAGCAGUUUUAUGACUCGACAAGCCAGAGAUUGGUGUUUCCCCUCUGCGCUUCUAUUGACUACGUUGUUUACUCUCAUGGGAUAGCUGGUUCGGCACCAUGGAGAGAGAUUGGUGGGCAUUGUGGUUGCCCCCAGAAGAAAAGAAGAGUAGAAGAGGUUAUGGGUGGGUCAUGUGAACUGACCUUCAACCCAGUUACUUCGUGGGGACUAUUUGCUGUAUAGAGAAGAUCAAGACUCAAGAGUUAGGGAAAAUCAUUGGAGGUCAUGUUUCCCUUCCUUAAGUUUUUCCUAUCAAAUUAUUUGCCUGAUUAGAUUAUGCUAAGGGUGGGAUACUUUAUGUUAGCAGUUGAAUUAAUUAAUUUUAUUUUUUUGUGUGUUUGCAUCCUUGCCCAUCGAUUGCAGUUUAGUAGUUAGUUUUGUAUUUGUCAGGCGUGAUGGUAAUGCCUGUUGAUGAUGUUUCAGAAUUGUAAUCUGUUCGUGAUGAGGAUGGCACAACUCCGAAGCAGAUGUGGGGAGAAGUUGUGAGCUGCCCUGGAAGCCAGUCCAGUAGCUGUUGGAGUUGAGUGGUGUUUGCUGAUGGCCAGCCCAGGGAGCUACUCUUCUCGACAACACUGACUUCGAGGAGUUGCACCAACCUUCACGAGAUAAGAGUUUAAUUAAUUGAAACACUGUAAGGACACUUAAUUUUUUUUUAAGAACGAAAGAAGUAUGGUAAUAAACGGAAACCGAAAAAAAAAAAAUAAUAAUAAUUAUCAAGAAUUUGCACAUUGUUUAACGAAUACUGAGAAACUAAGAACAGUAAUUUAAUUUGUAAAGAGAGCUUCACUAACAGAACAAUUUUUUUAGAAUUGAGAACUCGAGCCUCUGAAGGUUCCUGUGAGAACAAACCAGAUAAAAGUUUUACAUUUAAUUUUAUGAAUACUUGUUGUUUUAAAAUAAAUCUUAUGCAGAAUCUAGAUGUAUGUUCAGACAGCAAGGAACUAAGAAAAUUAUUAUUUUUGUGAAAUGAGGAAUUUAUAGUUAUGGUUUAAUGGAAAAAGACAAUUUGUAAUUUUGAGGUAGCUCGAUGGGGCUCGAGCUCUGUGAGGGGAGGGUUAUGUCGCGGGUUGAAAUUUUGCAGGGUUGUUGAAAUCAAAUUUAGGGACUUUACUGACGGGACUCUGGGCUGGCUGCUCUGUUCACUCGUCAGCGCAAGUGGCGUGACCAUGUAAUUGGGGCACGGGGCCGGCGCGGCGCGCUGCGGGCUUGCAGAAUUUUGUUUGUUUGUUUGGCCGCGCGCUGGCGCAGCCACGGGCCGCAGUUACUGGGGCGCGCUGUCGUAACAAGCCGCGCGGUGUGGCCUGCACAUUGGGGUAGAGGGGGGGUAGUCUUCCCAGAUGUUCUAGUUAGUUGUUUAGUAAAUUUGACUUCAAUAACGAGCUUUUGUUAUGGUAGGCGCGGCAGGGCGCGCGAAUUUAAGCGCAAGUGAGUGGUGACUCGGGGCUCACUCAGGCGGAGGCUAUGCGUCUCACCUGUGGUCACGAGUUGUUAGUUCGUUCGUGAUGUAGGAAUUCAAGCUUUCGGGCGGAAGCUAUGGUCGACGCCAGAGGCCACGAGUCGUUUAAUUUAAGUUAGGUCAUAAUGUAGUCGUCAAGCUUUCGGGCGGAGGCUAUGGCCCUCGUCAGGGGUCACGCGUCAUAGUUUUUAAAAUGUAAUGUUCGUUCGGGAUUUCAAGGGCAGGAGAGGCCCCUACGUUAUUUUUUUAAAGUAAUCGAUCAAGAAAGGCUUUUCGGAAAAUGUGAGUAUGGACUUAUCUUUGUUUUAAUUUUAAGUAUUAAUUAUGAUUUGAGGUAUUCGGAAGGACUAGGGAAGUGUUUAGUGAAGUUCUCUCAUUCUCUCUCUUGUAAGGUCGUUCAAUCGUUAAGGAAGUAAAGAGAUUAUUGUUUUAAAUUGUAAUCCCGCUAUUUAAAUGUUCUUUAAAAUGAUGUUGAGUAUUUGACUUUAAGAAUAAAAUAAUUUUAAUUAAGUAUUAUGUUAUUUUGCAAAAUCUCCUUAGUUCAGCUCUCACCAGACAUCCUGUACGGGAUGACGAACCUAUGAUCCUAGGUACAGUAAAGUAUUUUAUGAAGUUAAGACUAGUUGAUGCCAAGCGAGUUGUUUCUAUGUAAAGAGCUACGAUUCUCUCCCCCCUCUGAAGGUGCACGUGACAGAAAUGGCGGUGGCACCGGCUAGGUGCACGUGACAAUAUAUAGGUACCUCAUGUGUGGUCCGGAGUUAGAAUUGAGGGGUAACGAAAUGUAAAACGCGAACCUGCAAUAAAUAUUUUACCUGGAAAGUCCUUUUGACGUACUGUAGAUAAAUGAAAUCUAAACGUAAAACACUCCAAGCUACUGAAUUACAAACUAAAUGAAAUGACGGUUUUGACAUCGUAUGACCGAAGGCCACCCCAAAGCCCGACCUGCACCCGCCAGUACUCGGCUCUGCUAACGGAAAGCACCCCUAGCCAUGGCCCACCCGAGUCAAGUGAGCGGACCGCAGCCCAAGGUAGAGAAUAGCGAACCAUUUUAAUUACGCAUGCAAUGCACUCCCCGUGCCUACAAAAUUCCCCACACAAUAAUAACGUAAUCAAAAACAAACAAAAGCCCCUAAUUAAUAAAGUGCGACGUAGGAGUGCCCGUCACUCACGUGUAGUUUUCUACUAAAACAGCUGUGAGUGCAACCCUUGCGGCCUUCAGCCUAAAUUCAGUAGUGAAACGUGUGACAUAACGCAAACCGCCCCAAAUUAGCAUUAUCAUUCGCCAAUGGAGUAGUUAUCAAGAAACAGACAGUCUCCAGCUUGACUCUAAUAUUCAAACUUAUUUUAGACAAACUUAUUAAAUGUCAAUUCUAUAACAUAUAUAGAUAUUAAAUUAAUCAUUAUGUUUUAUUAUGUGAAUUUAGAGCCACUUAAAUUUAGUUAGUUAUAUAGAUUUUUACGAAUAACGGAACUUUAGAAACUCUGGCACGACAGGGAGCUCACCCCUCCCCUCGUGCCAGGGCUGCACGCCAGUACAGCGCGACUCGCGGACCGGGACGGACGCACGUCCCACGGGGAGCCAGCAUCUCUUUGUUUCACCGAACGUCCAUCUGGUAAUUAUAGUCACAACCAAAACCUUUUCUUUAAUACUCCCCGUGUGCGCCGGGUCCUUUUCCGGUGAAGGGCCUAACCCAGCCACGUCAAUUUAACACGCCCCACACAAAGCAUUACGUGGGGCCGUGCAGUAUACGGUACGGGCCGUCUCCCGCCACCCCAGAACUUUAUUUAAUCGCCCAGUGCACAGGCACAGGCUACAUUCAAACUCAAACGUGUUUUUAAUUUAGUAGCGAGCCGCGGUCCGCACAGGUGGGCCCGCGCGUCGCAAGUUACAGAUUACGAGAUUAGCCGAUGCUAAUCGAACGCUCUCCCUCGACUGCAACUGGCGUGAGGACUUAAGUAAAUGCACGUAGAGGCACGCAGGUGUCCCUCUCAGAUAACGUGUGCAGUGUAAUCGUGUACGUAAAAGCACCACCGAGUGCCGUUUUAUCAAGUGUAAUUAUAAUAAUAGUGUAAUCAAAACUUCUACGUGUUCCGACGCCUCAUUGGCAGUCAUGUUCCGCCGAGUAAACCUCGCGCCCAAUGUAAUGAACCAGUGUCAAUCGUGAACAAUAAAAAGUCCACCCCGCACCCCCCGUGCGCGACGUGCGACCCGUAGAACAACCAGAA